GAGCUGUACAAGGUUGUUUUUUUCCCUCUGAUACUUCAUGCAAACCACAUUUCCCCAGGCCUGUCCUAAUCCGCUUACUCAGUAUCACUAGAUCCAUUGCUGCUCCUCCAGCAGAGCACACAAAAGUAGGAGAGACCGGAGAUGUCAUGGCUUAGUUGGGAGACUGUUUGCUUCAAGGCCACUAGAGGGUGCUGCCAUAAAACUAUAAUAAAUGAAUUGACCUUUUGACCUGCUCACACUCUUUUAUGCAAAACCCUUCAAAAAGUGCUGAUGUUACACACACACACACACACACACACAAAGAGAUUCUAGGUCUGACCAACCGUCUCCGCCGUGGGCAAAAAGAUGACAGUCAAUAAAAUUCUGAGAGGUAAUUUAUAAACACAAUGAAUAAAAGUUAAAACAGUCCAGUGUCCUGUUUAGGUACAAAGCAAAAACACACAGUCCAAGGCCAGAGCCAGCUAUGCCACAAAGCCAGUUGCACUCCACACGUUGUUCACUUCAACAGGGAUAGCAGUUGUCCUCUGAGACUCACCACCCUGUAAGUAGAUAGCCAGUGAUCACUCCGUCCUCUGCAACUCAGCUGCCUUUAGGUUAGGGCCUAUUAUAUGCCGCAGCCUAAAGGCAGCUGAGUUGCAGAGGACGGAGUGAUCACUGGCUAUCUACUUACAGGGUGGUGAGUCUCAGAGGACAACUGCUACCCCUGUUGAAGUGAACAACGUGUGGAGUGCAACUGGCUUUGUGGCAUAGCUGGCUCUGGCCUUGGACUGUGUGUUUUUUUUACUUUGUACCUAAACGGGACACUGGACUGUUAACUUUUAUUCAUUGUGUUUAUAAAUUACCUCUCAGAAUUUUAUUGACUGUCAUCUUUUUGCCCACGGCGGAGACGGUUGGUCAGACCUAGAAUCUCUUUGUGUGUGUGUGUGUGUGUGUGUGUGUGUGUGUGUGUGUGUAACAUCAGCACUUUUUGAAGGGUUUUGCAUAAGAGUGUGAGCAGGUCAAAAGGUCAAUUCAUUUAUUAUAGUUUUAUGGCAGCACCCUCUAGUGGCCUUGAAGCAAACAGUCUCCCAACUAAGCCAUGACAUCCGGGUCUCCUACUUUUGUGUGCUCUGCUGGAGGAGCAGCAAUGGAUCUAGUGAUACUGAGUAAGCGGAUUAGGACAGGCCUGGGGAAAUGUGGUUUGCAUGAAGUAUCAGAGGGAAAAAAACAACCUUGUACGGCUCAUACUUUUUAUUAACAAAAAUAAUAAUACACUAAUAAUGAAUACUUUUCAUGACGUUCAGAUUUCUGGACUCAUGAGUUCAUAGAACAUUAAUGUUAUGGAACUUUGAGAUAAGUCUUAAAACUACAUUGUGUACUUAUUAUUUAUUUACUUUAAUCAGAUUUGACUGGUAUUUUUAAACAUUCAUAUUUUUUUUUUUUUUUUUUUUUUUUGUUCCUUCAACUAUUGUAUUUAAACUUAUGACUCACUCACAGUAUGUUUAUAGAACUGCCCAAAUAAACGGUGAGGAUGUGGCCACAGUGGCUGAGAAGCAAGAAAUUUGCUGGGUUUUUUUUUGUUUUGUUUUUGUUUUUUUUUCAUUGUGAAGCAUAAAUGAACAUACCACAGAAACCUGCACGAAGAAGCCAUAUUUGUUUUUUGUGGGUGCACAAGAUGAAGCUUUAGUAUUAUUACACAUAUGAUAAUGAUGUUAGC
ensembl:lncRNA